rnacentral:tRNA from 2 species
AGCAAAGUAGAGCAGUCGGUAGCUCGCGUGGCUCAUAACCACGAGGUCGCCCGUUCGAGUCGGGCCUCUGCAAUCA